UCUUGACAUCCUCUGACAACCCUAGAGAUAGGGCUUUUCCUUCGGGGACAGAGUGACAGGUGGUGCAUGGUUGUCGUCAGCUCGUGUCGUGAGAUGUUGGGUUAAGUCCCGCAACGAGCGCAACCCUUGAUCUUAGUUGCGAGCAUUCAGUUGGGCACUCUAAGGUGACUGCCGGUG
rnacentral:rRNA from 1 species